GAUGAAGAACGUAGCGAAAUGCGAUAAGUAAUGCGAAUUGCAGAAUUCCAGUGAGUCAUCGAAUCUUUGAACGCACAUUGCGCCCUUUGGUAUUCCGAAGGGCAUGCCUGUUCGAGCGUCAUUAUCACCCCUCAAGCCCUCGGCUUGGUGUUGGACGGUUUGGUGGAGGCCCCCUCGGGGGCUCCUGCCCCUCCCAAAGACAAUGACGGCGGCCUCGUUGGACCCCCGGUACACUGACUUCUUCACGGGACACGUAUCGGACACAUGGGUUUACGGGACACGGUCUGCCUCCCCUCAGGGAGAAUCUUUCUAAGGUUGACCUCGGAUCAGGUAGGGAUACCCGCUGAACUUAAGCAUAUCAAUAAGCGGAGGA
rnacentral:misc_RNA from 1 species